AACGAAUGCUGGCGGCAUGCCUAACACAUGCAAGUCGAACGAGACCUUCGGGUCUAGUGGCGCACGGGUGCGUAACGCGUGGGAAUCUGCCCUUGGGCUCGGAAUAACAGUUGGAAACGACUGCUAAUACCGGAUGAUGACGUAAGUCCAAAGAUUUAUCGCCCAGGGAUGAGCCCGCGUAGGAUUAGCUAGUUGGUGGGGUAAAGGCCUACCAAGGCGACGAUCCUUAGCUGGUCUGAGAGGAUGAUCAGCCACACUGGGACUGAGACACGGCCCAGACUCCUACGGGAGGCAGCAGUGGGGAAUAUUGGACAAUGGGCGAAAGCCUGAUCCAGCAAUGCCGCGUGAGUGAUGAAGGCCUUAGGGUUGUAAAGCUCUUUUACCCGGGAUGAUAAUGACAGUACCGGGAGAAUAAGCCCCGGCUAACUCCGUG
rnacentral:rRNA from 1 species